UGUUAAAAAUUUCAUUCAUUUUUACUGUUAAAAACUGGUGUAACUAAUAGAAUAACCAACGUCACGUGUACCCGAUUCUACCUAUAGAGAACAAUUUUUAAUAGUAGAAAUAGAUGAAAUUUUUAACG
rfam:Gossypium raimondii Chr13_contig_1344, whole genome shotgun sequence.